UGGUGAUUACUGUUGUGUUGUGAACUGCCAUAACAGCAAUGUGAACACGAAGGGGCUGCAGCCUCCAGUGGAAUUCUACCGAUUCCCCACUAAAUGGUACGAGAAAGGCAGACGACAGAUGUGGAUUACCGCAGUGCGCCGAACAAAUGCCGAUGGAAGUCCGUGGUCGCCAACAGAGAGUACAAGGAUUUGCAGCAGACAUUUUGUGGGCAACUGCAAAAGUAACUGCAGCCAACACCCGUCGUAUGUGCCGACCAUUUUUCCGGCGGCGUACAAGAAACGGACACCUGACCCAGAAGUGGCGCAGAGGUGGAAACGGCGGUCUGUAAGGGCAGCCAGAUCAGUGCAAAAUGCUGUGUAGCAGGCUGUGCCUCAAAGUACUCCUCAAGUUAGCCCACCAAUGCAAGAUCAAGAUUCCUCUGCUUGCCUGGACGUCUAUGACACACUUGCAAGUGAUGCGGAAUCACCAGUGAUGCCUCUCACACCUAUCAGUGAUGACCCUCAGCGUUCAGCGGGACCCUAUGAAACACAACAGGCUCAACCAGUUACACAGGCCGAUGCUGCAUGCCAAACAGAACUAGAAUCUCGAGGAAACCUGGUUAUCCUCCUGUCAGCGACAAAUGGGUCUGAGGUAUCAACUCAAGUUUCUCAC
rnacentral:lncRNA from 1 species